rnacentral:rRNA from 1 species
CAGGAUUAGAUACCCUGGUAGUCCACGCCCUAAACGUUGUGUGCUGGAUGUCGGGGGCACAGGCCCACUGGGUGUCGGAGCUAACGUGUUAAGCACACCGCCUGGUGAGUACAGGCCGCAAGGUUAAAACUCAAAGGGAAUUGACAGGGGCACCGCACAAGCGGUGGAGCAUGUGGUUUAAUUCGAAGCAACGCGCAGAACCUUACCAGCUCUUGACAUGGCGGUUGUAGCCACGGGAGACCAGUGGUGUCGGUUCGGCCGGGCCGUCACAGGUGCUGCAUGGCAGUCGUCAGCUCGUGUCGUGAGAUGUUGGGUUAAGUCCCGCAACGAGCGCAACCCUUGCACUUCAGUUGCCAGCAGGGUAGGGCCGGGCACUCUGAAGGGACUGCCGGUGGCAAGCCGGAGGAAGGUGGGGAUGACGUCAAGUCCUCAUGGCCCUUAUGAGCUGGGCUACACACGUGCUACAAUGGCGGUGACAAUGGGCAGCGAGUUCGCUAAUACGAUCA